AUAACGACUCUCGGCAACGGAUAUCUCGGCUCUCGCAUCGAUGAAGAACGUAGCAAAAUGCGAUACUUGGUGUGAAUUGCAGAAUCCCGUGAAUCAUCGAGUCUUUGAACGCAAGUUGCGCCCGAAGCCUUUAGGCCGAGGGCACGUCUGCCUGGGCGUCAUGCA
rnacentral:rRNA from 1 species